CGAGGGGUGCGGGUGCAGGGGCGGCGCCGGCGCCGAGGGCCGCCGCGCCGUGAUGUUCGCGGCCGCGGCCGUCGCGCUGUCGGCGAUCGGUGCCGGCGCCAGCGGCGCCAGCGCCGCGUUCGCCGAGUCGGACGUGAAGCGCGGGACGCCCGAGGCGAAGAAGAAGUACGCGCAGAUCUGCGUCACCAUGCCCACCGCCAAGGUCUGCCACAACUGAGCUGUGGUUAGAGGGAAG
rnacentral:misc_RNA from 1 species